ACAAACACACGCACGCACACACACAUACACAAAACACACACACAUUUAAACACUACAGCGGAGCACAUUGUUCACACUGGACUGUCUGCUACAUCUAAUGCACUCCGAGAAAAUCUCGGAAUAAACGAAAUCUCCUGGAGAUUGACUGUAUCCGGGGAAUCAGAGGUUGAAGAGGAGGGAAGGAAUGACUGAAUAUAAGCUGGUGGUGGUGGGCGCUGGAGGCGUGGGCAAGAGCGCUCUCACCAUCCAACUCAUCCAGAACCACUUUGUGGACGAAUACGACCCCACCAUAGAGGACUCGUACAGGAAGCAGGUGGUGAUCGACGGAGAGACGUGUCUCCUGGACAUCUUGGACACUGCGGGUCAGGAGGAGUACAGCGCCAUGAGGGACCAGUACAUGAGGACAGGAGAGGGCUUCCUCUGUGUCUUCGCCAUCAAUAACACCAAGUCCUUCGAGGACAUCCAUCAGUACAGGGAGCAGAUCAAGCGGGUGAAGGAUUCGGAUGACGUGCCCAUGGUGCUGGUGGGUAACAAGUGUGACCUCCCGACCCGGACGGUGGACACACGGCAAGCGCAGGAGCUCGCCCGCAGCUACGGGAUCCCCUUCAUCGAGACCUCCGCCAAAACACGACAGGGUGUGGAGGAUGCAUUUUACACGCUGGUGCGAGAGAUCCGUCAGCACAAGAUGAGGAAGCUGAACCCGCCGGACGAGAGCGGUCAGGACUGCAUGAGCUGCCGCUGCGUCGUGUCGUGAUCCAGGUGCCACACACACGAAGGACAUAACACACUGGAACCAGUCAAAACAAACCACACAUCAAACAACCACCACAGAACUGCUGAGAAACGCCUCUUGAAUGGCCAGCACUUCUGACGGCGUGUCGGGAGAAGUUUACCCAUGGUCCCGUGCGGCAGACUGCACCAGAGAGGGAGGUGACGAACAUUAGCGACGGGACGGUGAACAGCACUAAUGACUGAGCCGUUCUCCUCUCCAUCGGUGACCCCAGUCUGCCAGCGCUGGGCUCCUCCCAGGAUUUCUGCUCAAUUAUUGUUCCUGACGUCUCAACACUGGCCUGAAGCGGACUCUGCUCGUCACAGGACACACACACCUUCCUCCGCUCCGACUGGACACUAGUGACCUCAUCCCACGACCCCCGUCCCGCCGCAGGAAAACACACACACAUACACACAAGUGUGUGUUCGUGUCUGUAGAAAUAAUCAGGAGGAGUGUUUAACAGUGUGCUGUUAAUGUGUACGCUACCAACGAGCGUUUCCAGUAGACUAUUAAACAGACUGAACUUUCCUGAAUAAAAACUCCCGAGUUGUGUGGAGAAAGUGUGUGUGGAAAUCUCAUGAUGUUGAAAAGAUCUAACGGUUACCUCAAUAAACGAAAAAAAUAAAAACCUUUAUAAUGUAGAAGCUAGAGCUUUCAAACGCAUCCAAACGUUUUUGUUUACAUAAUAUAUGUGUGUGUGUGUGUGUGUGGUGUUUAUUUAUUAAGUGUAUAUAAAUACACACACAUACAGUGUAUAUUUUGAAAAUAUUUGCAUUUAUUUAUUUAUAUUACUAUAUAUAUUUAAUAUAUUAGCAUUUUUCUUAAAUAUAUACAUGCAUGUGUGUGUGUGUAUUUAUAUAUACAUAAUAAAUAAACAGUACACACACACAUAUAUAUAUUAUGUGAACAAAAAUGUUUAUUUUGGAUGGGAUUAAUCACUUGACAGCAGUAACAGAAACAUAAGUGAGGAGAUAAUAUCAGAUGGUUCAUGUCUUAUUUAAUAAUUAAAAAAACUGCUUGCACAUAAAAUCUUUACUUUUACACUUUUCUGAAAGCUGAGAGUCAAUCGGCAGAAGCACACACCAAAUCUGCAAAACCAUACACUAAUUCUCCGACUUUGACUCCGUUUUCAGUCAUAAAACACAACAUAAUUCUUUAUGUAACACACAAAAAUCGAAGAGGAAUUAAUAUUAUGGCAAAAGUGUUUGCAAAUGUUUGCUUUUGAGAUGUUUUGAAUCAUUUAGCAUUUCUUGGAUUUGUGUGUAAAGUAAAAAAACAAAAAAGAGGCAAUGUUUUGAAAAUGUAAGCAGUUAAAUAAAACUAAUCAUAUGGGCAUUGAAGUAUUA